rnacentral:ncRNA from 1 species
AUCGUGAGAAUCUUGGCGAUAUAGGGAAUGAGCGGCAGGUUCAGGAUCAGCAGGACGAGAUUGCCGAUGAACAUCGAGAUGAUGACCGCCCAGAAGAUCUCGGGCGUGUCCGUCAUCAACCGCGGCCC